CUCCACUCACGCAGUGGCUCACUACUCACCAUGGAGGUUGCCACAACAGCUUCUAGCAUCGCACUCAACAAGCCCAUGCUGGCAUUGCCCUCUUCGUCUCGAACCGCAACCCCUAUCAGAGCCAUGAACUCCUCCACCUCCUCCGUCAGGACCUCUCUCUCCUCCAACUUCGUCGCUCCUUACACUGGAAUCAACAGCGCCUAUAGCCUCUUCUCCGGCCACAAGCUCCGACUCUCCUCCCUCAAUCCGGGGUCGUUUCGCGGCUCCAACUCCAAACGAGGCGUCGUUACCAUGGUUAUUCCUUUUCAAAGAGGAAGUGCAUGGGAGCAACCUCCACCGGACUUAGCUUCUUACUUGUACAAAAAUCGAAUUGUUUAUUUGGGCAUGUCUCUUGUUCCAUCUGUCACUGAGUUGAUACUAGCUGAAUUUCUUUACCUUCAAUAUGAAGAUGAUGAUAAGCCUAUUUACCUAUACAUAAACUCCACUGGGACAACUAAGGGAGGUGAGAAGUUGGGUUAUGAGACUGAGGCCUUUGCAAUUUAUGACGUGAUGAGGUAUGUCAAGCCUCCUAUUUUUACUCUUUGUGUUGGUAAUGCUUGGGGAGAAGCAGCAUUGCUUUUGGCUGCUGGUGCAAAGGGUAACCGUUCUGCUUUGCCAUCAUCAACAAUAAUGAUAAGACAGCCAAUUGCAAGGUUUCAAGGUCAAGCAACAGAUGUUAACCUUGCAAGAAGAGAAGUCAAUAAUGUGAAGACAGAAUUGGUUAAAUUGUAUGCAAAGCAUAUGGAAAAAACACCUGAGCAGAUUGAAGCUGAUAUUCAGCGUCCAAAGUAUUUUAGCCCUAGCGAAGCUGUUGAGUAUGGCAUCAUAGAUAAGGUUAUAUACAAUGAUAGGGGCAGUGAAGAUCGUGGAGUUGUUUCUGACCUUAAAAAGGCACGGCUUAUUUGACAGUUGGAAUUUAAAUUGCCAUUUUCUUGGAGUUCAGGUGGGAGGGGUGAAAGUAAAGAGAGUAGUACUCUACUAUUUAGCAAGAAUGGUAAAAUGUGUCCUGAGCUAAACAUGUUAAGUGUUCCAAUCAAAGGCUGUUUGUGCAUGGUCUGAUAUAUUUCGUCUGAUGAAAUGUUCCUGUCAACGGGAAUUUGUGUGGAUUUGAAGUAGAUCAGUUAAAAUGGAAGAUCAGCAGCCAAAUUGUACAACCAUGCCAAGCAUAGCGGACAUUGGAGUCUCAUUGUUAAUACCGUAGACUAUAUUUCCCUCCCCCUACAGUAGGCUAAAGGAUCUACCAUUUACUUGUUUUCUAAUACUUUGUACACAUGAUUGGUUUCUGGUUCAUUCUAAUUCAAAAUGUUUUUUUGUCUGUAUUAGUAGAAGGAAACUCAAAUACCAUCAAUGACAAUGUUUAGCAAAUUUGAAAAACAGUAUCACGAAUUUUAAACAGUGAGCAAUUUUUGAUA